CAGCAGCCGCGGUAAUACGGAGGGUGCAAGCGUUAAUCGGAAUUACUGGGCGUAAAGCGCACGCAGGCGGUCUGACAAGUCAGAUGUGAAAUCCCCGGGCUUAACCUGGGAACUGCAUUUGAAACUGUCAGGCUGGAGUCUUGUAGAGGGGGGUAGAAUUCCAGGUGUAGCGGUGAAAUGCGUAGAGAUCUGGAGGAAUACCGGUGGCGAAGGCGGCCCCCUGGACAAAGACUGACGCUCAGGUGCGAAAGCGUGGGGAGCAAACAGGAUUAGAUACCCGGGUAGUCCCUGUCUCUUAUAC
rnacentral:rRNA from 1 species